rfam:Polaribacter sp. SA4-10 genome.
UAUAUUUGCAGCUUCAAUGAAAAGCUCAUUGAAUACAUAAAAAUCAUUUAAAUAAUAUUGGAAUG